GGUAAAUUGGGACCAAGCCUACGCUACGCUACAGACUACAGUAGACAUCAGGUACAUACUGUCUGUACAGGUUGUUUGCUGAGUCUGACUGUGCGUGGGGACAAGCCCACGAAUCCCUUCUAAAGUUCUAUUCCAGUUCCAGUGCCCAGUCAAUGCAUCAUUGCAUGGCAUGCAUGCAGUGGAACAGCAAACGCCACAAACAUGUCACACCUCGAGCUCGCGCAGCAGCCAACGGCAACGAACGAGAAAGCCUGCUGCUAGCUGGGCAGUGCUGCAUGACACAUGUGACUCAGUGACCUGGUGACAGACUCGUCACUCAGUGAAUGUCACUGCACUGACUUGGUCUCCAGUCUGUCUCGAAAAAUUACUGAUUGUUGAAUACAAUGUCAUACUGCAUUGUAUAAUAUUAUUGUAAUUAUUAUUAUUCACUGGUUUUGAGGGAAAGACACAAACGGGAAAAGUCUGAAGACAAAAUUGACUGUCACCACCAGGACUCGAACCAGAGCCCCUCGCUUGUAGCCGUAAUUAUUACUGAAGUAUUAUUAGCGUAUGCCCAAGCCAGGCAAAGGGCAGGUGAGAUGUGAACCUGGGAUAAAAUGAAUAAUAUUAUUAGGAGGAUAGAGCCUUAGAGGUAAGAUUCGAACACGUAAGUAUACAAAUCAUGCAUUAACGUUGUAUCUAUUCUAAUCGCUUUUACGCAGUAUUCGUUUGGAGUGGAAAACAUCAGUGCCACUGUUCCUUGGUUGAGUCAAAGACCAGUGGCGAGUGAGAGAUACAGAACGUCAGAAGUAAAAAGAGAAAAUGAAAAUGACGUUCACUGGAGUAUUCCAAGCCGGAUUUUGAGACACCCUGCUUCUCAUUCGUUGUCGCGUCCCCACACAGCACACUGCCACAGUGAAGCUAGCAGUACCGUGGCGCAAUAAUUGGUAUUUGCUGACAGUGGGGUGAAACCCACCAGCCAACCGGGGGCCGGAUUGUACAACUGGAACCUCUCUGUCUCGCUCACGUCCACGCACGUGCAUCCCUGGAUAUGGCCCUGGGUACGCCUAUAAUUAAUUUAAAAGCACAGUAUGUGUAUGGCUGUUAUCACUGCUGUAGCGCAGUAUCUACUUUCCUCGCCGUUUGUGCUUGUGUUGUCAUGUAUAUGUAGUAAUGCACACCCGCCAUGACGUGCUUUGCACUUCUCUACGCGCGCUGUCACUAUGUACCGCGCUUUGCUUGCUUGCCUCCUUCUUUUAUACUGCUGUUCUUUCCAUGUCCACUUCAUUCCUGAUGAUGGUCAUAAAGACCGAAACGUUGUAACGAUACCAAUGGAUUUGUGUGAAAUGCAGUGCU